GGAAGGAUCAUUACAGAAUCGUCAACGGGUUGUUGCUGGUCCUCAAACGGGGACAUGUGCACGCUCUGUUUACACAUCCACUCACACCUGUGCACCCUCCGUAGUUCUGUGGUCUGGGGGACCCUGUCUUCCUGCCGUGGUUCUACGUCUUUACACACACACUGUAAUAAAGUCUUAUGGAAUGUAUGCCGCGUCUAACGCAAUACAAUACAACUUUCAGCAACGGAUCUCUUGGCUCUCGCAUCGAUGAAGAACGCAGCGAAAUGCGAUAAGUAAUGUGAAUUGCAGAAUUCAGUGAAUCAUCGAAUCUUUGAACGCACCUUGCGCCCCUUGGCUAUUCCGAGGGGCAUGCCUGUUUGAGUAUCAUGAACACCUCAACUCUCAUGGUUUGCCGUGAUGAGCUUGGACUCUGGGGGUUUUGCUGGCCUGCAGUCGGCUCCCCUCAAAUGAAUCAGCCUCCCAGUGUUUGGUGGCAUCACGGGUGUGAUAAAUAUCUACGCUCGCAGUUGUCCGCCAGGUAACCUUUGGUAACAAAGGUUCGCUGGAGCUCACAGAUGUCUCUCCUCAGCGAGGACAGCUUUUUGAACGUUCGAUCUCAAAUCAGG
rnacentral:rRNA from 1 species